ACUCCUACGGGAGGCAGCAGUGGGGAAUAUUGCACAAUGGGGGAAACCCUGAUGCAGCCAUGCCGCGUGUGUGAAGAAGGCCUUCGGGUUGUAAAGCACUUUCAGUAGGGAGGAAGGUAGUGUAGUUAACACCUGCAUUAUUUGACGUUACCUACAGAAGAAGCACCGGCUAACUCCGUGCCAGCAGCCGCGGUAAUACGGAGGGUGCGAGCGUUAAUCGGAAUUACUGGGCGUAAAGCGCAUGCAGGCGGCUUGUUAAGUCAGAUGUGAAAGCCCGGGGCUUAACCUCGGAAUUGCAUUUGAAACUGGCAGGCUAGAGUCUUGUAGAGGGGUUAGAAUUUCAGGUGUAGCGGUGAAAUGCGUAGAGAUCUGAAGGAAUACCAGUGGCGAAGGCGGCCCCUGGACAAAGACUGACGCUCAGAUGCGAAAGCGUGGGAGCAAACAGGAUUAGAUACCCCUGGUAGACUGUCA
rnacentral:rRNA from 1 species